GCCCGGAUAGCACAGCGGUAGUGCAGCUGCCUUGUAAGCAGAAGGUCGGGGGUUCGAAUCCCUCUCUGGGCACCA
rnacentral:tRNA from 1 species